AGUUCGGACUGGAGUCUGCAACCCGACUCCACGAAGCUGGAUUCGCUAGUAAUCGCGCAUCAGCCAUGGCGCGGUGAAUACGUUCCCGGGUCUUGUACACACCGCCCGUCACACCAUGGGAGAUGGAUAUGCCCAAAGUCAGUGACCUAACCGCAAGGGAGGAGCUGCCUAAGGUGGAGCCAUUAACUGGGGUGAAGUCGUAACAAGGUAAC
rnacentral:rRNA from 1 species